CGGCGGACGGGUGAGUAACGCGUAGGAAUCUGCCCAGUAGCGGGGGAUAGCCCGAGGAAACUCGGAUUAAUACCGCAUACGCCCUACGGGGGAAAGGCCGGGAUCUUCGGACCGGUCACUAUUGGAGGAGCCUGCGUUGGAUUAGCUAGUUGGUGGGGUAAAAGCUCACCAAGGCGACGAUCCAUAGCUGGUCUGAGAGGACGAUCAGCCACACUGGGACUGAGACACGGCCCAGACUCCUACGGGAGGCAGCAGUAGGGAAUAUUGCACAAUGGAGGAAACUCUGAUGCAGCCAUGCCGCGUGUGUGAAGAAGGCCCUAGGGUUGUAAAGCACUUUCAGUGGGGAGGAAUUAGCCUGGCUAAUAACCAGGUGAAAUGACGUUACCCACAGAAGAAGCACCGGCUAACUCCGUGCCAGCAGCCGCGGUAAU
rnacentral:rRNA from 1 species